rnacentral:lncRNA from 1 species
GGAUGAUGCUGGCAGCGCCGUGGGAGGAUGCUGAUCUACCCAGGAGUGGGGGAGAAGAUUCUUGUCUUCUUCUUGGAGCUGUGGAUACGUCCCAGAGCACGGGGAAAAGUGCAGAGUGGUGCCAAGGAAAGCACAGGGGGGUGGAUAAACGUAUGCAGCGACAACAGCAGCACCGCCAGCAGCAGCUCCCACCUCCAAUGUGCCACCUCAGCAAGCGGUGCUCAGGACUACACGACCUCUCCAACUUGGGGACCUCAGCGCCCAGCAGCUCCCAGUGCCCCCAGUUUGCACCAGCGCCCCCAAUCCUGGGAUGGAGAGCAUCCAACCGCGGGACACGGACACCCAGCGGGCUGUUGAGUUUUCUUACCAGCAGAUGUCAGCUCCCGCUCGGGGAUGCGCAUCCAGCUCACAGCCGGCACCGCUCGGAGCUUUGCAGUGCGCGCCUUGGGGUUCCCUUUCCUAUGGGGCAGCGCACACUGCCUGGGUUCCCCACGCUGAUCCCAAGUCGGGCACUGAUGUUCUGAACUCACAGCCGUGCUCGCAGCUCCCGCCGGCCGCACACAACCGGGCGAUGCUCCACGGGGAUGCGGAGGUGACUGUGAGAGCUGGGACAGCCCAGGGACAUUG